GUGGGGAAUCUUCCGCAAUGGACGAAAGUCUGACGGAGCAACGCCGCGUGAGUGAAGAAGGUUUUCGGAUCGUAAAGCUCUUUCGUUAGGGACGAACGUGCUCUUUGUGAAUAAUGAGGAGUAAUGACGGUACCUAAAUAAGAAGCCACGGCUAACUACGUGCCAGCAGCCGCGGUAAUACGUAGGUGGCAAGCGUUGUCCGGAAUUAUUGGGCGUAAAGCGCGGGCAGGCGGGAUAUCAAGUCUGUCUUAAAAGUGCGAGGCUCAAGCUCGUGAGGGGACAGAACCUGGUAUUCUUGAGUGUCGGAGAGGGAAGUGGAAUUCCAAGUGUAGCGGUGAAAUGCGUAGAGAUUUGGAAGAACACCAGUGGCGAAGGCGACUUUCUGGACGAUGUCUGACGCUGAGGCGCGAAAGCUAGGGGAGCGAACGGGAUUAGAUACCCGUGUAGUCC
rnacentral:rRNA from 1 species